ensembl:misc_RNA Metazoa_SRP Metazoan signal recognition particle RNA
GCCGGGCGUGGUGGCUCACGCCUGUAAUCCCAGCACUUUGGGAGGCCGAGGUGGGUGGAUCACCUGAGGUCAGGAGUUCGAGACCAGCCUGACCAACAUGGAGAAACCCCAUCUUUU